rfam:Bombyx mori DNA, contig: Bm_scaf99_contig35700, strain: p50T/Dazao, build 2, whole genome shotgun sequence.
UUAAGUCAAAUUUGUAUGGAGUUGAAACGUUUGCCUAUGUUUGCUGCUAGGAGCACUAUUCCAGCUGCAUACAAAUUUAACUUU